UCUUUCAGGACAUUGGAGCAGGAAAACCUUAGCUGUUGCUGCUGUGGAGUCGUGAUUAUCCAGGCCCAACGGCUAGAAGUCAAAGUUUCCUAGAUGUGAGUUCACUAACUUGUGCGGGAGCGCCUACAUUACAAUCAUCUGAGAACUUGUUAUAAAUAUAGAUCCCUUGAUCCCAGCUCAAGAUUCUUCCCCCCAGCUCUAGACAUUUUGAUUCGGCCUUCAGGAGUGGGGACUGAGUGAUACUGAGUGAUAUUUGAUACUGAGACAGAAUUGUAUCAAAUUCCAUUUUAGGUUGUUCAUUUACUUAUAAUAAAAAUGGCUCUUCUCCUUUGA